UUAAGUUAUUAAGGGCGCACGGUGGAUGCCUUGGCACUAGAAGCCGAUGAAGGACGUUACUAACGACGAUAUGCUUUGGGGAGCUGUAAGUAAGCUUUGAUCCAGAGAUUUCCGAAUGGGGAAACCCAGCAUGAGUUAUGUCAUGUUAUCGAUAUGUGAAUACAUAGCAUAUCAGAAGGCACACCCGGAGAACUGAAACAUCUUAGUACCCGGAGGAAGAGAAAGAAAAUUCGAUUCCCUUAGUAGCGGCGAGCGAAACGGGAAGAGCCCAAACCAACAAGCUUGCUUGUUGGGGUUGUAGGACACUCUGUACGGAGUUACAAAGGACGACAUUAGACGAAUCAUCUGGAAAGAUGAAUCAAAGAAGGUAAUAAUCCUGUAGUCGAAAAUGUUGUCUCUCUUGAGUGGAUCCUGAGUACGACGGAGCACGUGAAAUUCCGUCGGAAUCUGGGAGGACCAUCUCCUAAGGCUAAAUACUCUCUAGUGACCGAUAGUGAACCAGUACCGUGAGGGAAAGGUGAAAGCACCCCGGAAGGGGAGUGAAAUAGAACCUGAAACCGUGUGCUUACAAGUAGUCAGAGCCCGUUAAUGGGUGAUGGCGUGCCUUUUGUAGAAUGAACCGGCGAGUUACGAUUUGAUGCAAGGUUAAGCAGUAAAUGUGGAGCCGUAGCGAAAGCGAGUCUGAAUAGGGCGUUUAGUAUUUGGUCGUAGACCCGAAACCAGGUGAUCUACCCUUGGUCAGGUUGAAGUUCAGGUAACACUGAAUGGAGGACCGAACCGACUUACGUUGAAAAGUGAGCGGAUGAACUGAGGGUAGCGGAGAAAUUCCAAUCGAACCUGGAGAUAGCUGGUUCUCUCCGAAAUAGCUUUAGGGCUAGCCUCAAGUGAUGAUUAUUGGAGGUAGAGCACUGUUUGGACGAGGGGCCCUCUCGGGUUACCGAAUUCAGACAAACUCCGAAUGCCAAUUAAUUUAACUUGGGAGUCAGAACAUGGGUGAUAAGGUCCGUGUUCGAAAGGGAAACAGCCCAGACCACCAGCUAAGGUCCCAAAUAUAUGUUAAGUGGAAAGGAUGUGGCGUUGCCCAGACAACUAGGAUGUUGGCUUAGAAGCAGCCAUCAUUUAAAGAGUGCGUAAUAGCUCACUAGUCGAGUGACACUGCGCCGAAAAUGUACCGGGGCUAAACAUAUUACCGAAGCUGUGGAUUGUCCUUUGGACAAUGGUAGGAGAGCGUUCUAAGGGCGUUGAAGCAUGAUCGUAAGGACAUGUGGAGCGCUUAGAAGUGAGAAUGCCGGUGUGAGUAGCGAAAGACGGGUGAGAAUCCCGUCCACCGAUUGACUAAGGUUUCCAGAGGAAGGCUCGUCCGCUCUGGGUUAGUCGGGUCCUAAGCUGAGGCCGACAGGCGUAGGCGAUGGAUAACAGGUUGAUAUUCCUGUACCACCUAUAAUCGUUUUAAUCGAUGGGGGGACGCAGUAGGAUAGGCGAAGCGUGCGAUUGGAUUGCACGUCUAAGCAGUAAGGCUGAGUAUUAGGCAAAUCCGGUACUCGUUAAGGCUGAGCUGUGAUGGGGAGAAGACAUUGUGUCUUCGAGUCGUUGAUUUCACACUGCCGAGAAAAGCCUCUAGAUAGAAAAUAGGUGCCCGUACCGCAAACCGACACAGGUAGUCAAGAUGAGAAUUCUAAGGUGAGCGAGCGAACUCUCGUUAAGGAACUCGGCAAAAUGACCCCGUAACUUCGGGAGAAGGGGUGCUCUUUAGGGUUAACGCCCAGAAGAGCCGCAGUGAAUAGGCCCAAGCGACUGUUUAUCAAAAACACAGGUCUCUGCUAAACCGUAAGGUGAUGUAUAGGGGCUGACGCCUGCCCGGUGCUGGAAGGUUAAGAGGAGUGGUUAGCUUCUGCGAAGCUACGAAUCGAAGCCCCAGUAAACGGCGGCCGUAACUAUAACGGUCCUAAGGUAGCGAAAUUCCUUGUCGGGUAAGUUCCGACCCGCACGAAAGGCGUAACGAUUUGGGCACUGUCUCAACGAGAGACUCGGUGAAAUCAUAGUACCUGUGAAGAUGCAGGUUACCCGCGACAGGACGGAAAGACCCCGUGGAGCUUUACUGUAGCCUGAUAUUGAAAUUCGGCACAGCUUGUACAGGAUAGGUAGGAGCCUUUGAAACGUGAGCGCUAGCUUACGUGGAGGCGCUGGUGGGAUACUACCCUAGCUGUGUUGGCUUUCUAACCCGCACCACUUAUCGUGGUGGGAGACAGUGUCAGGCGGGCAGUUUGACUGGGGCGGUCGCCUCCUAAAAGGUAACGGAGGCGCUCAAAGGUUCCCUCAGAAUGGUUGGAAAUCAUUCAUAGAGUGUAAAGGCAUAAGGGAGCUUGACUGCGAGACCUACAAGUCGAGCAGGGUCGAAAGACGGACUUAGUGAUCCGGUGGUUCCGCAUGGAAGGGCCAUCGCUCAACGGAUAAAAGCUACCCCGGGGAUAACAGGCUUAUCUCCCCCAAGAGUUCACAUCGACGGGGAGGUUUGGCACCUCGAUGUCGGCUCAUCGCAUCCUGGGGCUGUAGUCGGUCCCAAGGGUUGGGCUGUUCGCCCAUUAAAGCGGUACGCGAGCUGGGUUCAGAACGUCGUGAGACAGUUCGGUCCCUAUCCGUCGUGGGCGUAGGAAAUUUGAGAGGAGCUGUCCUUAGUACGAGAGGACCGGGAUGGACAUACCUCUGGUGUACCAGUUGUCGUGCCAACGGCAUAGCUGGGUAGCUAUGUGUGGACGGGAUAAGUGCUGAAAGCAUCUAAGCAUGAAGCCCCCCUCAAGAUGAGAUUUCCCAACUUCGGUUAUAAGAUCCCUCAAAGAUGAUGAGGUUAAUAGGUUCGAGGUGGAAGCAUGGUGACAUGUGGAGCUGACGAAUACUAAUCGAUCGAAGACUUAAUCAA
rnacentral:rRNA from 1 species